rnacentral:rRNA from 1 species
AAUUAAUUAAACUUUUUUUUUAUUUUUUACAGUAAUAAUUGAAUAUUUGAUCCUUAAAUUAAGAUUAAAAGAAUAAAUUACCUUAGGGAUAACAGCGUAAUUUUUUUUUAGAGUUCUAAUCGAAAAAAAAGAUUGCGACCUCGAUGUUGGAUUAAAAUUAAAUCUUGGUGUAGAAGCUAAGAAUUUAGGUCUGUUCGACCUUUGAAAUUUUACA